rnacentral:sRNA from 1 species
UGAAGUGCCAUUGUGUUCCAUCAUCAGC